rfam:Schistosoma mansoni, Puerto Rico, WGS project CABG01000000 data, contig: 0181
GCACUGCCGAGGAGUCCCACAAUAGGACGAAACGGCCGUCCAGUUC